rnacentral:lncRNA from 1 species
CUCUCCAAACACCCUUCUUUCUCUUCUCUCUCUCUCAUCUCUGUCGAACACCACCACCACCGCACCGCCACCACCACCACCGCAACCAUCUCUGUCUCUCUCUCUUCUCCCUCUCUCUCUUCCGCAACCACCACAACCAACCACCACAAAUCAAAAGAAACCCUAAAAUUCUCUAAUCAGCCGCAACUAAUCGGCUUCAAUGGCUUAGGAUCACCACCAACACUUCCCACCGGUAAUAUCCAUCACAUCUGCGCCACCACCUCAUCCCCCCACCGACCUUCUCUCCACCACCACUGCAAUGUAUGAUACGGACCACCACGGCACCACCAACAUCGCAAUGGAUGACACGGUGACGAAGCUGGAGAUAGAGAGAGACUGAGAAGAGAGAGAGACCGAGCAGAGAGAAACUCCGAGAGCCGACGUCACCGGCGACCAACGCCGUCAGCGGCGGCGAUGACGGUGGGUAUUUGUUGAUUUUCCGAUACAAUUUCCGGUAAAACCACUUUUCUUUCUAUUAAAUUUCUAAAAGAUUAAUGUUAAUGAUGUGCUAUUGUCGAUGCUGAUGAUGAAUUUCUGUUGUAAAUGACGGUGGUUGAUGGCUGCCGGCGGUGUGUGCAGAGAUGAGAGAGAGAAGAGAAAGAAGGGUGGUUGGAGAGAGAGUGUGUGUGUGUGUGCAGAGUGAUUUUAGGGGUGUUUGGGUAUAUUAAUACUUAAAAUGACUAAAAUACCCCUGAGGAAAAGGACAAAAAUCUGACCUGAUUUGAGAUUUGGAUCAAAAUGGCAAUAAAAUGCAAACCUCAGGGACCCAGAUGUAAAAAAAUUGGAUUUUGGACUAAAGUGGCAAAAGUGAGCAAACCUCAGGGACCAUUUUGGCUAUUAACUCUAAUUUUGACAUAAUGUGAUGAACGAAAUAUGAUGGCAGUUCAACUUGGCACUUCCCGCUACAAAAACCGCCCACCCCAUAACUUUGUCACAUCUACUUGAUAUGCAUCAAAAGUCAACAUUUAGCUCACUGGAAUCUAUAAAAGUUGAAGUAUCAAAUGGAUUAUGACAAUGGGAAAUUUGUGUAGAAUGUGAUAUAUUACCUGAUUGCCAGCAUUCGGGCCGUCUGUAGUAAAGAGAAUAGGAUGACAACAUUUAUCUUGAUUCAUCAAGCUUGACUCCUGAAAGUUCGCAAUUAGGGCUUGCUUUCCCUGGAUUCUAGCAUAUGCAAGACACGCCACUUUUCCACUAUGAAACUUCUCCCAUUUUUUCCCAUUGAUUGACUGCAAAAUUAUAUGUUGUUUUUGGUAUUUCUUUUCGUUUAGUCGAAGCAAAACAAAACAAUUUAGCAGAUGAAUGGCUCGGCUCACAGAAAGAAUGGAAUUUAGUAGAUUUACCUUGUAAAAUGGCAUUUUACUCAAAAAUAAAUAAAUAACUUGCCUUGAAAUCAAGAGGGAGAUAAAUGAAAUCAUAAGUUCCCUGAUUAUGCUCAUUGAUUGCAGCCAACAGCAUGGCAGAACUAUACCUGCGGUAAUAACACUUGAUUUAGUAAAAGAUGAUCAGAACGUUGUA